rnacentral:misc_RNA from 1 species
CGCAUAUUGCGCCCCUUGGUAUUCCUUGGGGCACAUCUGUUCGAGCGUCAUUACACCACUCAAGCCUAGCUUGGUAUUGGGCGAUGCGGCUCCCGCACGCCUCAAAUGCUCCCGGCUGGAUCGACUUAUCCUUCGGCGUCGUGGAAUUUUCUAUACUCGCUGUUAAUGGAUUUGCGGUCUCACUGCCGUUAAAGCCUUUUUUUUCAGGUUGACCUCGGAUCAGAUGGGGAUACCCGCUGAACUUAA